rnacentral:rRNA from 1 species
GAUGAACGCUGGCGGCGUGCUUAACACAUGCAAGUCGAACGAGAAGUGAAGACGGAAACCUUCGGGCGGAAGGCUUUAUUUCGAGUGGCGGACGGGUGAGCAACGCGUGGGUAACCUGCCUCAUACAGGGGGAUAACAGUCGGAAACGACUGUUAAUACCGCAUAAGACCACAGCACCGCAUGGUGCGGGGGUACAAACUCCGGUGGUAUGAGAUGGACCCGCGUUCGAUUAGCCAGUUGGCGGGGGAACGGCCCACCAAAGGGACGAUCGAUAGCCGCACUGAGAGGAUGGCCCGCCACAUUGAGGCUGGGACGCGGCCGGAACUCCUGCGGGAGGCGGCAGAGGCUAAUAUUGCACAGUGGGGGGAACCCUGAUGCAGCGACGCCGCGUGAGUGAAGAAGUAUGUCGGGAUGUAGAGCUGUAUCAGCAGGGAAGAAAAUGACGGUACCGGAGGAAGAAGCCCCGGCUAACUACGUG